GGCGCAGUGGGCUAGCGCCACUCAAAAGGCCCAU
rnacentral:misc_RNA from 1 species